CGGACCUUUGGUUUUGAGAUUCAAAACCGGUCCAACGGGAUACACCGUGGGAAGAUUAUUAUCUCCGCCGGAGAAAAACUUCAUAGCAUGAGGCUCCAGCUCAGCAAAGGUAUUUACCAAAAUACCCUUGGUUUCUCUGAAUCUUCUCACUUGGCCAAACACAAUCGGUAACCAGUACUUGUUUAACAUCACAGAUGGGAAACACUUAACCGGUAAAGGACGAGACAAACACGGAACCUCCAACUCGGUUAUGUCCGAAUCCUUCAAGUCGCUGACGUCAUAUUUCUC
rnacentral:lncRNA from 1 species